rnacentral:rRNA from 1 species
GACGAACGCUGGCGGCGUGCUUAACACAUGCAAGUCGAACGGAAAGGCCCUGCUUUUGUGGGGUGCUCGAGUGACGAACGGGUGAGUAACACGUGAGUAACCUGCCCUUGACUUUGGGAUAACUUCAGGAAACUGGGGCUAAUACCGGAUAGGAACUCCUGCUGCAUGGUGGGGGUUGGAAAGUUUCGGCGGUUGGGGAUGGACUCGCGGCUUAUCAGCUUGUUGGUGGGGUAGUGGCUUACCAAGGCUUUGACGGGUAGCCGGCCUGAGAGGGUGACCGGCCACAUUGGGACUGAGAUACGGCCCAGACUCCUACGGGAGGCAGCAGUGGGGAAUAUUGCACAAUGGGCGGAAGCCUGAUGCAGCAACGCCGCGUGCGGGAUGACGGCCUUCGGGUUGUAAACCGCUUUCGCCUGUGACGAAGCGUGAGUGACGGUAAUGGGUAAAGAAGCACCGGCUAACUACGUG